rnacentral:rRNA from 1 species
AAUAUUGGACAAUGGGCGAAAGCCUGAUCCAGCCAUGCCGCGUGUGUGAAGAAUGUCUUCCGAUUGAAAAGCAUUUUAAGGUGGGAGGUAGGGGUAGAAGCUAAUACCUACAAUUUUUGACGUUACGAACAGAAUAAGCACCGGCAAACGCUGUGCCAGCAGCCGCGGUAAUACAGAGGGUGCAAGCGUUAAUCGGAAUUACUGGGCGUAAAGCGCGCGUAGGUGGUUCAGUAAGAUGGAAGUGAAAUCCCCGGGCUUAACCUGGGAACUGCUUUCAUAACUGCUGAGCUAGAGUACGGUAGAUGGUAGUGGAAUUUCCUGUGUAGCGGUGAAAUGCGUAGAUCUAGGAAGGAACACCAGUGGCGAAGGCGACUACCUAGACUGAUACUAACACUGAGGUGCGAAAGCGUGGGGAGCAAACAGG